UUUCGAGCGUUCGUCUUCUCCGGCGCCUGUCUCCGACGAGCGCCUCCUCCAGCCGCUGCUCCUUCACCAGGUUCGUUUGUGCUUAGAUCGCCAGGAUUAUGUCUGUGCACAGCACAUAUCCUUUCCAGGAAGAUCAGCCCCAGAAUGUUUGAUGCAAUUCCUUCCGAA